GACGAACGCUGGCGGCGUGCUUAACACAUGCAAGUCGAACGAUGAACCGGAGCUUGCUCUGGGGAUUAGUGGCGAACGGGUGAGUAACACGUGGGCAACCUGCCCCAGACACCGGGAUAACCAUUCGAAAGGAUGGCUAAUACCGGAUACGACCACUUCGGGCAUCCGAUGGUGGUGGAAAGGAUUCUGGUCUGGGAUGGGCCCGCGGCCUAUCAGCUUGUUGGUGGGGUAAUGGCCUACCAAGGCGACGACGGGUAGCCGGCCUGAGAGGGCGACCGGCCACACUGGGACUGAGGCACGGCCCAGACUCCUACGGGAGGCAGCAGUGGGGAAUAUUGCGCAAUGGGCGAAAGCCUGACGCAGCGACGCCGCGUGAGGGACGAAGGUCUUCGGAUUGUAAACCUCUUUCAGCAGGGAUGAAGCGAAAGUGACAGUACCUGCAGAAGAAGCACCGGCUAACUACGUGCCAGCCGCCGCAGUAACAC
rnacentral:rRNA from 1 species